AUUGAGACAGAAUGCGUGUUCCUAGUCGGCAUUUUUGGUAAGCAGAACUGGCGAUGAGGGAUGAACCUAACGUUGAGUUAAGGUGCCCAACUAUACGCUCAUGAGAUACCACAAAAGGUGUUGAUUCAUCUAAACAGCAGGACGGUGGACAUAAAAGUCGUCAUCCGCUAAGGAGUGUGUUACAACUCACCUGCCGAAUGAAUUAGCCCUAGAAAAUGGAUGGCGCUAAAGCGUAUGACCGAUACUCAACCAUCAAUAACAAAAGAAAGUAGUGAUGAGUAGGAGGGCGUGGGUGUUGUAAGAAGAUUAUGGCGUGAGCCUGAUUGGAACGACAUCUAGUGCAGAUCUUGGUGGUAGUAGCAAAUAGCCAAUUGGAAACGUUGGCGGCCGAAGUGGAGAAGGGAU
rnacentral:rRNA from 1 species